rnacentral:rRNA from 1 species
UACGGAGGGGGCUAGCGUUGUUCGGAAUUACUGGGCGUAAAGCGCACGUAGGCGGCUUUGUAAGUUAGAGGUGAAAGCCCGGAGCUCAACUCCGGAAUUGCCUUUAAGACUGCAUCGCUUGAAUCAUGGAGAGGUGAGUGGAAUUCCGAGUGUAGAGGUGAAAUUCGUAGAUAUUCGGAAGAACACCAGUGGCGAAGGCGACUCACUGGCCCGUUACCGACGCUAAGGCGCGACAGCGUGGGGAGCAAACAGG